AGACAGAGCCAGCUGGCAGGAAAGCACAGCCACUGCCAUCUGAUUGAGCUUGAAUCUGACCUUCUCACCUGACAGUCGUCUCAUCCGGGUUCCCCUUGGUUGCCUGCAGGAUUUAUUAUCAUCGAGAUAGCACUGAUUUCAAGGAAAUAACUUCUCUGUUUCUUUAUGGCCAAAUACUGUGUCAACCAAGGGUUUGCCUAGCCCAGAAAUUCCAGCGUGACAAGACAAAGCCCUUCAGGGCGGGGUGUGCCCUUCAACCCCCUCCAGCUGGUGUGCAGAUGUGCAUUAAUCCCAAGGAAUCAGCCUCUGUGUGGAGCUGAGUUGGUGAUCUGUACUGGAAUAGCCUACCUCCCAGAACGCUGGAUCAGCCUUCUAGAGAUGGAGCAGAAGUGCCAGCUCAGAGGAAACUCUAGAAAGGAUGGAGUGCAUCCUUCAGGCCUGCAUGAAAGAGCCCUGUGGUGAGGGACAGUGACCCCUGGUGCCCUGGACAACCCCUGCUGUGACCGAGGCUGCCCAGGAGAAGGAAGGCCCCUGGUGGCCAUGGAGGACACGGAGAAUCCAACGAAUGAAUCCAGUGGCCUCGUAUUCGCCAACGCUCCAUUGAAACCACAGCUACGCUCCAGGCUGGACACUCCCUGUGGAGCAAGGCUGGAAGCUGAACUGUGCUCAGAUGAUAUCCCGGCAGUGAAAACACCAGAGUGCUAAAUGAAAAAUCUAUGCUCUCCCCACCAACUUCUUCAACUAGUGGGCCGCACAGGCUCCAGCAAGGAUUAAUUUGAACACUGUCAUUUCUUGGCAUCCCAAGCUGAAUUUUCCAGGACACAAAGGCAUGAGGUAUUCCAUCAUCUUGAUAAUUUUUAUAGCCAGUGGGGAGGUAGAAGGGAACAAAUAAUUGGAUGCACCAAGCUAUGGAACAAAUGAAACUAUGAAACGUUCACGAUCAAGUCCUGGAUCAAAGUGACUGGCUCGUAGAUAGGCAAGAAAUUUGGCCUCCUUCAAAAUAAGAAAUGAGGAUGGAGCCUCAAGCAGUGGGUCUAAAAGUGAGUCUUUCACAGGCUUGAGGAAGAAUACAGUGUUUCCCAUUAACCACCCAACACUCAAGAAGAAAUGUCACCUAAGAAACUGACUUUGGGUUACAAACUAGGGGCAAAUACUGGAAGGAAAUAAAUCAAAAUAUGCACACUGGUUGUGCUAUAAUGAUGGGAUUACUGGGUAUUUUUUGUUCUUUAUUUUCCUAACUUCCUGUACACCAAUAACUUAUAGCAUAUAUUUUUUUAGUUUCUUAAAAGACCUUCCCUUUUUUUUUAGCAUAUCAGCCACCAAAACACCCAGUUAAAAAGCUUAGCACCCAUUCUUGACUCCUUUAUUUUCGUCUUAAAUAUCUCAGUUCAUGCAUCCUCUCUUCUCUGUCUCUUCUUUCUGGGCCUUAGUGCAGAUGCUUGGUGUCAUUUCACUCCUCUUUCUGGUCAUUGACAUCCUCCCCUAAAUGGCUUCCCCACUGCUGGUCUUACUAAUCAUCCAGUCCAUCCUCCAACGGCAGCCAGAGUGACUUUCUAAAAUAGAAACCCCUUCAUGUCACAUUCCUGCUCAAUCUCUUCAAUAGCUCUUCGUUGCUUCCAGGAGACAAUUUAAAUUCCUUUCCAUAACAUGCAGGGCUCUUCAAAACCAAACCCGCCAAGCUCUUUAACUUCAUCUCUCCCUCCCAAACAGCUCUCCCCACUGCCACUACCCCAGGUCGCUCAUUCCACCUACAGGCCUUUAUACAAGCCAUUACCUUUGCCGGAAACGCCCCACCUCCCACCUGUGCAGCUUCCCAGGCCUCUGUGAAGCUCAAGCAUGCUACACUUCCCCACCCACGGAAUCGCUGAUGGCCACCCACCUUGUCCUGAUGCUGAUCCUGUCCACGUCACAGCACUGUACACAGUUUUGGGGCUGUGCACCCCACAUUUGCCUCUCUCACUAGACUGUGGGCUCUGGAAAGCAGGGACCCUGUUUGACUCAUUUCUGGAUCCUCAGCACCUGGCUCCUAUAGUGCCCAGAACAGGGGAGAUGUUUGGUAAAUAUUUGUUAAUUUCAUAAAAGGAGGAGUCAAUCAAGGAAUUAAAAUGUGGCUUUCUGCCAUACUUAUAUUAUUUAGAACUGUAUCAUCUACUUUACCACAAUUAAAAAUUAAAAUUUUUUUAAAAACCUAGAUCAUCUAAAAUACUCAAGAAAAGCCAAAUCACAUCAAAUGCCUUUUGGUUCCUAGAUUCUAGGCUUUUUGUCUCUCCCACUUCUUACCCUCCCAGGCG
rnacentral:lncRNA from 1 species